AGAACCUUCAGGCUCUCAGCUUGAUUCUCCAUUCAGGAAGUUCACAGCGCCACCAGGUGCCUCAGCUCAAGGGAGGUGCCAGCUGGUGGCACUGAACCGGCCAAGAAAAAUUAUCCUCAGAUACAGGGUCCGACCAGAAACCAGAUUGUGGAGGCCAGAGAAUUCAGCACCUUCAGGGGACACGCAGAGGCCUGUAGACGGAGAGUGGGUUUCUUGUUUUGUUUUGUUCAAAGUCACACCGUAAGUAAAGGAUGAAGUUGGGACCAGAUCCCAGGGCGGUGCCUCCCUUAAAACCAAUAGGUCUGUGGCACCAGCUGAGGGGAAGACCUUCUGGGAGAAUCAGAACUGAGCAUGAAAACAAAGCCAGGCCAGAGGUGGAGAACUGAAGAGAUCCACUCCCCGCAAGACAUGGUAACUGGUUCCACGGGUUCCCCAAGGUCUCAGGCUUGGAGUUUUCUCUUCUCAAUGACUUCGCAUUUGCUUUGGUACCUCAGAGCUUCGGGGCUAAACCUGUCACUGAAGCCUGGGCUGUCUGUUCAUAAGGAAGACAAGGCAGGCACUUUGAGUCAAGAAAGACCUGAAAGGAAGAGGAAUCGCACGGGGCCCUACUCCGGUGUGGUCUAUGUUCCCUUAGGACUUGUCCACAGCCUCCUUUUUUUCAGUCUCCCCCUCAUCAUAGGGACCGUGCACAGUCCGUUCUCAGCUCCCAUCAUUUCUAGAAGAUUCUUGCUAGAGCUUCUUCGGCUAAGCAUUUAAUAAUCCUCUGGCAUCCCUUUCCCAGACAGUGAUGACAGUUACAACCUCACCUGGAUUAUGUAUGUGAGGGAGCGGACUUCCCCAGCAUCCUCGGGAUACAGCCCUACGGUGCAGAAAACCUGCCAGGAAGCAAGCUGUCCAUUCUUCAAUACACAGCUGCGUGGGUAAGACGGAUAAAAGCUACGCAGGAAGGUGGACUUGGUCAGCAAGUUCAGGACAAAGAAGUCCUUUCUCACCCAAGCCUGCCCCUCCACACCCCAAGUCCUUCCGCUACCGUGAUGCACCACCACCCAGAACACGUGACUUCCAGUCUUGAGUUGGCCAUUUGCCAGCUUUGGGAUAGUAGACUUCCCUCCAUGUAGCUGCGGAAGGGCAAAGCAGAGGGAGCUGUGGCCGGCUUGAGGAAACUGGCCAGGAGGUUAAAUUGCAAGGAGCUGCAGGCCCCCUCUGGGAGCCGAGAGCUAUAUCUGGACCCCAUUCUUAUAAAGAACUCUGACAUUUGGAGAUGCUUCAAGGCCACACAGCAACUUAGAUAUAUGCCUAGGGUACGACUUCAGCAAUUGAGAGUCACGUACAAAUUAGUAAAGAAUUAAAAAAAAAAAAGUACAUUAAACUACAGUCAAAUUGAAAAAAAAAGCAAAAUUCAGACGGAUACACAUUCUUACACCCUAACCUCUAAACUUCAGAACUUCCUGCCUAUGAGUCGAGAGGGGGAGUGAGAGGGUGUCUUGCUGGCAGGUGCUGUCUCAAAGGCUCACAGUCCUCCACUUCCUGGGGUGUCAGCCACAGAACAAAGCCAGCAGAGACUCCAACAGCACCUCCCUUUCUCCUCAUCCUCCCAGGCAUAGCUGCCUCUGCCCCUGCCUCUGCCUCUGGGUACCAUCCCAGGGAAGCAGAAGAUGAAGUGGAAAGUGUCUGUUCUCUCCUGCAUCCUCCAUGUGCAGUUCCCAGGAGCAGGUAAGGGUUCUGUUUCCCGUGGCUCUUUGUGUGUCUGAGGGGCAGUGGAGGGGUGCCAAGGACCUGGUGCUUCUUUUAAAGCUUGUCUUCCCAAAGUCAAUGGGCAGAGUAGGCAGCGGCAGUGUGGGCUUGGGUCCCACCCAGGCGUCUGCUCUGUGACAGCCAAGCUGGGUAUCGUUUGGGGGCCAGCUGUUUGAAAACACAGUUGUAGAUUGUCCAGUAAUAAAGGCAGAAGAGAAAGACUGUGGGGGGAAAGGGCGAGGAGAAGCGCAGCGAGACAGCUCGGCGCGGAUAGGGGAAGCCGCACAGGAUCAGAAACACCAGCUAGGCCUCGAUCUCCUCUGGUUUCCAGAUAUCAUGUCUCCUUCCUCCCCUCUCUGGUUGGCAUUGACGCUCAGCCCCGUUCUUUCCUCCUUUGCCAACAAAGGACAUUACCAUGGUCAGU
ensembl:processed_transcript